AUGGCAUGCAAGUGGCAAUGCGUGGCGACGCCGCUGCUUGUGGUGUGGUUGGCCGCGUCGGCGACGCAGCAGGGAUGCAACGCGCAGACGAGAGGGAGUGGGAAUGGUAAUCUGACCAGAGGGAGCUUCCCCAAGGGCUUCGUCUUCGGCACAGCCGCCUCCGCCUACCAGUACGAGGGAGCCGUCAAUGUGGAUGGAAGAGGACCUACAAUUUGGGACAAAUUCGCACACACAUUUGGGAAGAUCCUUGACUUCAGCAAUGCCGAUGUUGCUGUUGACCACUACCACCGUUUUCAGGAGGACAUUCAGCUCAUGGCAGAUAUGGGAUUGGAUGCCUACAGAUUCUCAAUUGCAUGGUCUCGGAUUCUCCCAAAUGGCGCCGGUGAGGUCAACCCAGCAGGCAUCAACCACUACAACAAGGUCAUUGAUGCACUCCUAGCAAAAGGGAUUAAGCCGUAUGUAACCCUCUACCACUGGGACCUUCCCCAGGCCCUGGAAGACAAGUACAAUGGAUUGCUUGACAGGCAGAUAAUCAACGACUACGCGGCAUACGCGGAGACGUGUUUCAAAGCGUUUGGGGACAGGGUGAAGCGUUGGAUCACCUUCAACGAGCCACACACGGUGGCGGUGCAGGGCUACGACAGCGGGAUCCACGCGCCGGGCCGCUGCUCCGUGCUCCGCCACCUCUGCUGCAAGCAAGGGAGCUCCGGCACCGAGCCCUUAUAG
rnacentral:rRNA from 1 species